rnacentral:misc_RNA from 1 species
ACACUGAUGUGAGGGCUACUGGGAGUACCCAGAACUGCUCUUCGGCACCCUUCCUGCCCCUACCACGCCUUCCUUGUCCUCUUCUCCUCUUUCGGUAAAGGGCCGGGCAAGGCGUGUGUGUGAGAAAGCGAGGUUCCUGUGCGACUCGAAGAGGCGCCACACGCACACAGCGUACUCGUAUCUACGACCAGACACCACACAGCUUCAUAGAAAGCCCCUCCCUCUACCCUUUCCACACACGCACACACAAAGACAGGCAUAUAUAGCCAUAGACAGAGCGUUGCUGUUGCCAUCACGCGGAAGUCGUUGUACACAGCCCGUGCACACGCCUCCCUUUUCUGUUUGCUCUGGUGCAAAGGCAGGGAGCGCGUUGCCUUCGCGUGCUUGUGUUAAUCCCCCUUUCUCCCCUCCCCCUCUCGUUACCGCGCUCACUCACUCAACCGCAUAUACGCAUUCAGCUAAUAGCGUCGCACCGUAACCCACCUUUAGGGCCAGCAGCGGAGGUGCGGCUUUGCGAUGAUGCACCGCCCAUCUAGCUCAUCACCACUCCCCCCUGAGGGCGAAUCGACGCGGUACCUUGUGGUGAUCGAAGUGAGGACCACGGCCGAUACCGCUGCUUGGCCCGAGCUCAGCUGCCUUGUCCGAUCCUAUGUGCGCGUGCAGGCGAGCCGCCGACUGGCCGCGGGCCACCUGCCGCCGUUUCUCCCUGGCGCCACCAUCUCUCUCGCAGAUGCGCCGCCUCUGCUGAGAGAUGAUGUCGCGUCGGUGCGGGUGUGUGACGUCUCCUUCCCGACAGGCUGUUCGUGGACAAAUAUGGAGCAGGUGCACUUCUGUAUGUGCCUGUACCGACUCCACGGUGAAACUCUCUGCAGGCCACUAUCGUCUGCCGCGUCUGCCCCGGUUACCCAGGCGUCUCUGCCGGCGUGGUGCACGGCCGACAGCAUGCACAGCGGCGGCGACGAAGGUGACAGUGCGUCGACCUUCACCGUGACACCCCUGCCGCACGUCUCACUGGAGGGCCAGUGGGAGUCGCUGUACUAUGGCGAGAGUGAGGCGGCGUCGAUUGCGUUCAAGCGGGACAUCGUGAGCUACGUGGACGCCGCCAUGCGGUUCACCCACGCCGGGGUGAGCUCCAACUUUGUGACGUGGAAUCGACUUGUUCUUUUCCACGGCCCGCCAGGCACGGGCAAGACGUCGCUGUGCCGCGCCUUGGCACAGAAACUGUCAAUCCGCCUCGCCUCGUCGGUGUACGCUCGCGCGUGCCUUUUGGAGAUCAACGCUCAUAGUUUGUUCAGUCGCUGGUUCAGCGAGAGCGGCAAACGCGUGCUGCAGCUGUUUGAGCAGGUGCACCGCAUCGCCGACGACAAGGAGUGCUUGGUGUGCUGCGUGAUGGACGAGGUGGAGAGCCUCGCGGCAGCUCGCACCUCCGCCAUGAAGGGCAACGAACCAUCUGACUCGAUCCGUGUUGUGAAUGCACUGCUCACACAGAUGGAUCGACUGCAGGACUGCAAGAACAUCGUCGUCCUUGCCACGACCAACUUGACGGCGGCAAUCGAUGCAGCGCUGCUGGACAGAGCGGACAAGCGCGUGUAUGUCGGCCCGCCAGGCGUGCAGGCACGCUUCCUCAUUCUAUAUGCGGGUGUGCAGGAAUUGGUGGACAAGCGGUUGGUGGCUGCGCCGCAAGCGGGGACGUCCGUGCUACCCGACGAACUGAACGGGGUUUCUCUUGCGGACGAGCGUUGCCAGGAUGAGGGGCAAGCGGCACACCGGGGCAACGUAGGCGCGCACCGCAGCCUUGGCGGUCAUCUACUGGUUGGCGGCAGCGGCACCGCCGAGGCCGCACACAUGUGGAAUGAAGAGCUGACCGCGUUGCACGACGUGCCGAGUAAGCCUCACAAACCGCCGCAGCAGAUGAUACCGACAUCCACGAGUUUGGGAACGGCACCCGCCCCGCAACCAGCGCAUCCCCAAUCGCCGUCGCACUGCCUCUCUGGCAAUGCGUACACGAUCAGUGAGCUGCUCCAUCACAUUGCCGAGGUGUGCGUGGGCCUGAACGGCCGCACCUUGAAGAAACUGCCGUUCUUGGCGUACGGCGCGUGCAUGUGCAAUUCUUACACUGGCGGCUGCGGUGGUAGCGAGUCGGCGUGGCAGGGGGACCAGAGAGGUGGCUUCGAUGCGCCUCUGCCUCUGCGGGACUACCUGGAGGCGUUGUUCAAGGUUGCAGAGGAGGCUGCUGAGGUGGCCGUACUCGAUGCGAAUAGCGGUUCCUAAAGCCGUCUGCUGACGCCGCAGGUGAGCCGCGCUGUGCUAACCUGUUCUAAUCGCUUCUUUUGCCGCAGACCCUGAUCUCCCUCCCUCUCAAGACGGCUCCACGAGGAAAGGCACGCGGCACAGAUCACGGCAACAUACGUACUCCUCUGCGCAAGAACAUGCAGACAUACAUGGCCCCUCCUCUUUCCCACGCCUGCCAGCGAUUCUGCUUUGACGAUACAGAAGAAGAAAAACAGAGGGAGAGGCGAACGGUGCGAGAGGAGCGGGAGUCUAUGUGCCCACUUCCGAGUCUGUCGCCCGGCUAUUGGCCGUGCACCACAGCGGGCUGUUUCGCGCACCACUUCUGAGGCGCAAACGUGCAGCCCCCUCCCCCUCCCUCAUGCGCCCGCGCAUGUAAUGUGACAGGGAGGCACUGCCAAGCACUUCACGAGAGAGCUUGAAAAGAACGCCGAGGAUGAAGGUAAUGGAGAGAGGGAGGGGGGCGGGAUGCAAAAUGUUGUUGCCUCCUUCCUUCUCUGCUCCUCACUUCUGCAGCCUUUAGGCCCUCGAUGCUGGAGCUUGGGUCUGCUGCGUGCUUGUGGGUCGAGCGGAUCUUGACUAGGGUGGUGGUGGCUCUCCCGCCAAACCUCAUCAUCUCUCUCAAUCUCGAAUGCUGCAUGUGUGCGCGGACCAUCCCUCCUCGAACUCUCUCUCUCCUCCGCCCACUUAUCCAUCUACUUUCCCCUUCUUUUUUUCCAG